rnacentral:rRNA from 1 species
GAUGAACGCUAGCGGCAGGCUUAAUACAUGCAAGUCGAGGGGCAGCACGGGUAGCAAUACCUGAUGGCGACCGGCAAACGGGUGCGGAACACGUACACAACCUUCCUUUAAGUGGGGAAUAGCCCGGGGAAACCCGGAUUAAUACCCCGUAAUAUUAUGAAGUGGCAUCACUUUAUUAAUUAAAGCUCCGGCGCUUAAUGAUGGGUGUGCGGCUGAUUAGAUAGUUGGCGGGGUAACGGCCCACCAAGUCUGCGAUCAGUAACUGGUGUGAGAGCACGACCAGUCACACGGGC